UUAUUCCCUACCCUUUGACGUAACCGUUCUAAAAUCUGUACUCGUCAUACCAUAUUUCUUUUUCAAGAACUUGAUUUAUAUUCUCGAAUUUCAAUUUUCACAGAAUUGAUCUUCACGCGAACGAAAAUAAAAGGUGCGCGUUGAAUGGCAAUUUUGCAUGACAAUCAAACUGUUGAAGCAACGCAAAGCAAUGCCAAUACCAAGUACACGGAUACUUUCGUCACGACUAUUUGUAGCGAUAGUAAGCAGGACACAUACUAGUAAAAUAAAAAAGGAGAGUGAAAUUCUUUGCUCGACAUUGUUUUCGAGUAAUUGUCACAAUGUCACAUAUGGCCGCGACAGCGCAUACUUCGUAAGUACAGGAUUACCGAUACAACCUUGGCCUAAUGCAAGUAUUUAACAUAGUUUCAGAUUAUUGUCAUCUUCGAUUAAUUUCCUAUAUCCUUUGGAUCCAAAAGUAUGAUCGACAACGGAUUGCGAGAGCUAACGCGUGAAACAAAUCAGAAAUAUUGAUUGAUAUUAUUCAAUCUCGAUUACAAAUAUUAUGCAAACUUCUUCAUUGAAAGAUCGCCUAUUAUUGGUAACAAUCAAAUUUUUUUUUUUCCCUAUUAUCAACGUAAAUAUCAACAAUCUCUACUCAAGAAUACCGUGAUUUUGAUUUCACUAUUACAACGUUCGCGCAUUCGUUUUGAAUUUAAAAGACAACGAACCUGACCGCCUAAAAAGGAACGGCAACGCUUCGGUCACCUUUAACACGUUCAACUGGGAUCAACAAUUCAAAUGGUGAGAGAAAAUCUGCGGAUACUUUGAACGGUAGCAUGCUAAUGCCCAUUCGCACCCUAUUCAGAAGCUCGAAAUAAGCACAAUAGCCAGUGGAACCAUAGCGGCUUGUAAGGAAGAACAAAUUUUCACGGUUUUCAACAAUCGCCGAUCACGGUACAGAAAUUGAAAGCGAAUUCGGAUGAAAAUGAUAGUUUACCUGGUACCACUUUUUAUUCAUGGCGAAUCUUUCUAGACCUUCGUUGGCGCUAUUUGAACACUUGUUUUUUUUUUCUUCUUUUUUUUUUUUUUUAAAGAGACGUUUACGUUUACGUUCGUAUAUUGACACAGGUUCGAAUCGAACGGACGUGAAAGGAAAGAGAACGACCGAAUCGUUCCGUGUCACGGUUGUGUUUGAAAGCUACUGAGCGAUAUUCGUGCGAGUGGACGAAAGCCGGUUUUCGAAACCAGUCGUGUAUCUCCCUCUCCCCCUUGUUUCUCACGAGGAAGCUUCGAGCAAGAAGACCCCCGACGAAUCUCAUUGGGCGAUACCGAGCUACCUCUCUCUCGCCAGUCGUGCAUUUCUCCCAACAGUACUCGCAAGAAAAGGAAUUUGUUCAUGCCCGUUUUCAAUACCCUUACGAUACCCGUUUCCACCUUUCUCUCGAUUCCAAUACCGCAGCACCGUUCUCGAUGCAUACAGCAUCGAGAUUAACACGUUAGACCGUCGCCUAACCGAGCCUACGAUUAAUUGCGUUUGCGCGUUGAUUUCUUUUUUUCGCGGGAUUCGAUUCGAUUCGAUUCAAAAUCGAGAAAGUACAGAGAGAUUCAGUUGAAAAGCAAAGGAAGAAUUAAAAUUGUUGCUGCGUAUCGAAAUACGUAAUCAGGCAACGAUACGGUUUAAACGUAUCAAAUACUGUAUCAAUGGAUCUUGAUUUCUUACGUUUGUCCUUGCCUUCCGGAAUAUUUAUCCGCUUCUCGAUUUCAUCGAUCGCAAACCAAAGUUUUGCUAAACAAGUUUAUGUUUCAUCCGCGUUGUGUUAAGUGAAUAUGUUUUUAAAGGUCGAUUAAAAUAAACAGCUUCGAUAUGAAAGCUGUGCUUGACAAAGUAUUUGCGUAAUAACGAUUACGAAUAAUGGAAUCGAACUAAAAUAACUACCGCUUUGUAAAACAGAUGUUACACGUUACCGUCGAAAAAGUUUCAAACUCUUCGUGUUUCUUUUAAAAAAAUUAUUUGAAUAAUCCUAAAUUAUUCUGUCAAUGAUUAAACAGUGAAGAAUGACUAAGAGAAUUCGAAAUCACUCCAGUGAUAAUAUUAUAUUUCAGUCUGGCCCAUUGUUGUCACUGGCUAGUACCGUCUCAAUGCAAAACCGGACGCUGCCUGUUAAUCAUGGCGCACACGUCGCGUAGACUAAUUUUACAAUUAAGAACAUUCAAGUCAAAGUGCUUGUACAACCUGGAGAACGUUUGAACGACGCAUUACCUUUAACCUUCAGCUACUCGGUACUUUAAGCACAACGAUAUACCCUCUCCUUCUCGGUCAUAGGAUCGAACGUUACUCCAGUUUAAGCACGUAUUAGUCUCGUUCAAUUAUUCUGUAAAAUUACCACCUCCGCGUUUAAUUUUUCUUUUUCUUUUUUUUUUUUUUUU